rnacentral:rRNA from 1 species
GACGAACGCUGGCGGCGUGCUUAACACAUGCAAGUCGAACGGAAAGGCCCUGCUUUUGUGGGGUGCUCGAGUGGCGAACGGGUGAGUAACACGUGAGUAACCUGCCCUUGACUUUGGGAUAACUUCAGGAAACUGGGGCUAAUACCGGAUAGGAGCUCCUGCUGCAUGGUGGGGGUUGGAAAGUUUCGGCGGUUGGGGAUGGACUCGCGGCUUAUCAGCUUGUUGGUGGGGUAGUGGCUUACCAAGGCUUUGACGGGUAGCCGGCCUGAGAGGGUGACCGGCCACAUUGGGACUGAGAUACGGCCCAGACUCCUACGGGAGGCAGCAGUGGGGAAUAUUGCACAAUGGGCGGAAGCCUGGUGCAGCAACGCCGCGUGCGGGAUGACGGCCUUCGGGUUGCAAACCGCUUUCGCCUGUGACGAAGCGUGAGUGACGGUAAUGGGUAAAGAAGCACCGGCUAACUACGUG